rnacentral:rRNA from 1 species
AUUAGUAUUAGUUAGGUUCUUGAAAUUUAAAAGAUUUGGCGGUAUUUUAGACUUUUCAGGGGAACUUGUCCUUUAAUUGAUAAUCCACGAUUUAAUUUACUUUUUUUUUUAGUUUGUAUAUCGUCGUUAUUGAAAAUUUUUAAAAAAUUAUUAAUUUUUAGAAUUUUAAGUUUAAAAAUAAAUCAGAUCAAGAUGUAGUUAAUAAAAAAGUAGUGAUGAGUUACAUUAAAUUAUUAAAUAGGAUAUUUAUUUGUAAAAUAAAUUGAAUAUGGAUUUGAAAGUAAUUUAAAUUAAUUAAUUUAAAUGAUUAACCCCUAAAAUAUUUACACUUCGCCCG